ACGUAAAAUACAUCUGGCUCAUUCCACGGGGACGGGUGUGACAUUUCAACUCACAUUUUAAGGCUUAAUUCUUAAACUGUAAUAUAAAAUUCUGUAAAACGAGUAUUUUCUAAUAGGUUUCCGCGAUAUACACAAUGCCUAGAAAAAAAAAUUCAAAAACAAUUUAAUC